rnacentral:tRNA from 1 species
AGUAAAGUCAGCUAAAAAAGCUAUCGGGCCCAUACCCCGAAAAUGUCCAUCCGGCCUUUACUA